rnacentral:lncRNA from 1 species
GCCGGCGUUCCAGAGGGGCCCCGCCCUCGUCUUGGAACUGGAGACCCCGGCUGAGCACCUCUGGGAGGUUUCUGUAGUGCUCUCAGCCCCUCCGCGCCCCUCUCGGGCGGGUGAACUCCACUCAGCCGUCGUCUCCCCUGGUUUCCCAUACCAACGUCGAGUUCAGCCACAAAACCCACAUCCCCCAACCACAUCUCCACCGCAGGCUUCCGCCUUUCCGUAGCCGAACCUGAGCGACCCGCCCCAUGGUGACAAGCCGCCUUCAUUCCCACAAGCCCUGGGGCUUCUUCAGCUCCCAAGACAGGGUCUCUCUAUAGCUUUGGAACCUAUCCUGGAACGCUAUAUAAACCAGGCUGCUCUCGAAACUCAGAUAUUCGCCUGUCUCUGCCUCUCGAGUACUGGGACUAAAGGCGAGCACCACCACCACCCGGCUUACAUAAAGCAUUCUUGCAAAUUCUUCCCUGAAAUCUCCAACGAGAUGCCAUUGCCCAUAUCUUGUUUAGAAUGUGCUGGAAUGGCUGAAUUGAAG